UACGAGAGGCCCAAACGUUAUUCGGAAUUACUGGGCUUAAAGAGUUCGUAGGCGGCAUUGCAAGUAGGGUGUGAAAGCCCUCGGCUCAACCGAGGAAUUGCGCUCUAAACUGCAGUGCGUUGAGGAACCUAGAGGUGAGCAGAACAGAUGGUGGAGCGGUGAAAUGCGUUGAUAUCAUCUGGAAUACCGGAGGCGAAGGCGGCUCACUGGGAGUUUUCUGACGCUGAGGAACGGAAAGCCAGGGUAGCGAACGGG
rnacentral:rRNA from 1 species